rnacentral:rRNA from 1 species
AAACCAGCACCUCAAGUGGUCAGGAUGAUUAUUGGGCCUAAAGCAUCCGUAGCCGGCUCUGUAAGUUUUCGGUUAAAUCUGUACGCUCAACGUACAGGCUGCUGGGAAUACUGCAGAGCUAGGGAGUGGGAGAGGUAGACGGUACUCGGGAGGAAGUGGUAAAAUGCUUUGAUCUCUCGAUGACCACCUGUGGCGAAGGCGGUCUACCAGAACACGUCCGACGGUGAGGGAUGAAAGCUGGGGGAGCAAACCGGAUUAGAUACCCGAGUAGUCC